AUGCCGCGUGAAUGAUGAAGGUCUUAGGAUUGUAAAAUUCUUUCACCGGGGACGAUAAUGACGGUACCCGGAGAAGAAGCCCCGGCUAACUUCGUGCCAGCAGCCGCGGUAA
rnacentral:rRNA from 1 species